rnacentral:rRNA from 1 species
AUUGAACGCUGGCGGCAGGCCUAACACAUGCAAGUCGAACGGUAACAGGAAGAAGCUUGCUUCUUUGCUGACGAGUGGCGGACGGGUGAGUAAUGUCUGGGAAACUGCCUGAUGGAGGGGGAUAACUACUGGAAACGGUAGCUAAUACCGCAUAACGUCGCCAGACCAAAGAGGGGGACCUUCGGGCCUCUUGCCAUCGGAUGUGCCCAGAUGGGAUUAGCUAGUGGGUGGGGUAACGGCUCACCUAGGCGACGAUCCCUAGCUGGUCUGAGAGGAUGACCAGCCACACUGGAACUGAGACACGGUCCAGACUCCUACGGGAGGCAGCAGUGGGGAAUAUUGCACAAUGGGCGCAAGCCUGAUGCAGCCAUGCCGCGUGUAUGAAGAAGGCCUUCGGGUUGUAAAGUACUUUCAGCGGGGAGGAAGGGAGUAAAGUUAAUACCUUUGCGCAUUGACGUUACCCGCAGAAGAAGCACCGGCUAACUCCGUG